GACCCCAUCGUCUAGUGGUUAGGACAGUGGCCUCUCACGUCACCAACGGCGGUUCGAAUCCGCCUGGGGUCGCCA
rnacentral:tRNA from 1 species